AAUACAAGCUUCUGAGCGAAAAACCUUUGUUAUCCCCAUUUUACAGAUAGGGAAACCAAGGCACAGAGAAGGUGUGUGACUUGCCCGCUUAAUCACCCCACCAAACUGCCCCUGUGAUGAAGUUUGUCACUUGAAGAGGAGGCUGAGAGAAGUGAGCACAACAUGAAAGAGCGUGUUCCGCUACUGUUGGACUAAGAAGACAAAGACUGGAAGCUCCUGGUGGACAGGCUCAGGGUCCUGGAGCAUUGGAAGAGAGAGAAGGAGAUGAGGAAGCGAUCAAGGAGGUGAUGAUGGAAACCUUCUGAGGUCACUGAUAACCUUGAUGUGCAGGCAAGAAUGGAGGCCCAAGACCCUGUAGCAGCAUGCUAAAUAGUUCCUUCCUGGCUGACAUCAAUCAAGACUCUUCAAGUUCCAUUGUUCAGCUGCAAAAGCCCUUCACCGGAACUUCUCCAGCCCACAAUUCUCCACCUUGUUCACAAGCACAGGGCCUGCAUGGGGCGGGGCUGCUGCAGCACAGAGCACAGGCAGAGGAUCUCCCAUCUCAGCCUUAAGCCUUGCUGGGACAGCAGCUCCACGGUCCUCGUCCUCAUCGAGACAUCCUAUGAAGGAGGGAUACUCCAGAAGUCACCAAGCAUUGCCACUGAGCUGAGCCAGGGCUAUGAGACAGCCAUACUCCAGUGUUCUAUGAUACAGGCACCCUGGCUUCCAGUCCCAGCUCUACUGCUGAUGGGCUGUGUGAUCUUGGAUAAGCCACUUAACCUCUCUGGGCCUCUGCUGCCAAAUCAGCAAGAUGGAGGUGGGAGGGGCUAGAUGAUAUGCGCCCUCCAAAUUCCACUAUGUAGGAGCUUCACAGACUGAGCCCAUAAAUUUUCCUGGGGCUUGCACAUUCGCACAGGCCCCUGGAAAGCUUGGAGGCCCUGGGUACUACACUGACAGUGCCACAUGGAGAAAACGGUCCAGACACAGGACUUCUGGGGUCCCCAAAGAGCCACUGAAAAGAAUGAGAUCAAGAAGGCCCCAGGUGUCUUCAGGAUGGGGCGAAGAGGACAACACAGUCUUACGUGUGCCAGGUCUGUUCUCACUCGUUGUCUCCUAGAAUCUUCAUGCCACUUUGAGAGCCAGCUGCUAUUAGUACUUCUCUUUCACAGAUGAGGAUGCUCAAGCUCAGAAAGGAGAAGGCACUUGCUCAGGGUAGCACAGCCAAUGAGGGGUGAACCAAGGAAUUCAUUCUUUAUCCCUUUAGCCUCGGGGCCUUUUCAGCUGCCCCAGUGGGCUCUACCAUAAAGCCAGUUUGAAGUGUUCAGGGAGGCCCAUUGCAUGCAGAUGCAUAAAUAUUAAUUCUCACUCUUACUGUAACCAGAAUUUUUCUCUCCCUGAAGGAAUCUGCUAUUAAAUGGAUAACAACAUCCCCACUCCACCACUUACUAGCUGUGUAACUUUGAAUAAUUUUCCUAAGCUCUCUGUGCCUCAUUUUGUUUACCUGCACAAUGGGGGUAACAACACUUAUCUCAAAGAGCUGUUGUGGGGAGUCAGGAGGUAGACAGGCCAAGCCCUUUGCAGAGUGCCAG